rnacentral:rRNA from 1 species
AGAGGACGUGAAACCGAUGAGAUGGAAACGGAAAGAGGUACCGAAAAUGCUCGUAUUCAGCUGCCUUUUUGCGUGUGCCUUGCCUUUGCGAUCCCGCUAGGGUUGUGAGGUGAGACUUCAUGCGGACUGACAGUGCAUUUGCGAGUAAUGUGCGCUGCGGCUUGUGGUUAGGUCAUCUGAUGUGUGAUUAGAGGACUCCAUCUGGAGAAACCUGGUUGCGCGGAUGUUGAUUCGGACUCCAUGUCAAGGAACUGGCCAACGUGCGGAGUGGUUAUUGAGGUCGUUCCUUGCGUAAAUCGCAUGCGAUUUGCGCUUGUGGAUAGCUUUGGUAGUCGCUUCGUAAACUGUUCCGACCGCAGUGUCAAAGGUGCUCAUCUUUCCGACCCGUCUUGAAACACGGACCAAGGAGUAUACAGUAUGUGCGAGUCAUUGAGUUCUAAACUCAAAGGCGUAAUGAAAGUAAAGAUUCCGUAAGGUUUUGAUAUGCGAUCUCGGUUGCCUCGGUAGCUGAGAGCAGCAUAGCCCCGUCUUGACCGCUUGCGGUAGGGCGGAGGUAGAGCGCAUGCUAUGUGACCCGAAAGAUGGUGAACUAUGCUUGAACAGGAUGAAGCCAGAGGAAACUCUGGUGGAAGUCCGAAGCGAUUCUGACGUGCAAAUCGAUCGUCUGAUUUGAGUAUAGGGGCGAAAGACUAAUCGAACCAUCUAGUA